rnacentral:rRNA from 1 species
UACAGAGGGUGCGAGCGUUAAUCGGAAUUACUGGGCGUAAAGCGUGCGUAGACGGUUAUUUAAGUCGGGUGUGAAAGCCCCGGGCUCAACCUGGGAAUUGCAUUCGAGACUGAAUAGCUAGGGUACGGUAGAGGGAAGUGGAAUUUCCGGUGUAGCGGUGAAAUGCGUAGAGAUCCGGAAGAACACCGGUGGCGAAGGCGGUCUGCUGGGCAGUUGCUGACACUGAGGCGCGACAGCGUGGGGAGCAAACAGG